rfam:Streptomyces tsukubensis NRRL18488 Contig299, whole genome shotgun sequence.
UCGGCCCCGGUUCACGCGCGUGCAUUCCGCCCGUGCGACCCGGAGCC